AAAGCAGAUAAAUACAUUGACUCCAAGCAGUCGCCGCUGUGUUGAUCAUUUAAUUUUCUCCCUAACAACGACUGCUGUUUUGGGCCGAACAUUCAAUUUCCUAAAAUUGGCCAAUCACAGUUCAGCUUCCGUUUUUCGUUGGCUAGUGCCAGUCCUCCACUGUUAAUUGAAAACUAACGAGUAGAGAUAUACACUACACAGCGACAGCACGUGAAGACAUAAAUGAAUGCCAAAGCAAUCCUUGCCUAAACGGAGCCACAUGUACUGAUCACGUGAAUGGAUACACGUGCAGUUGUGCGCUGGGAUAUACUGGCAUCGAAUGCCAACAAGACAUAAAUGAAUGCCAAAGCAAUCCUUGCCUAAACGGAGCCACAUGUACUGAUCACGUGAAUGGAUACACGUGCAGUUGUAAGCUGGGAUAUUCACUA